rnacentral:tRNA from 1 species
GUCCAAUUAGCUUAGUUGGUAGAGCAUCUGACUUGAAAACAGAAGGUCGCAGGUUCGAGUCCUGUAUCAGGCU